rnacentral:lncRNA from 1 species
GAAGCUUGUGUUAGAGCAGCUCGGCGCUCCUGCACAGCAGAGAGCGCCGGGAGCCGGAGGGGAGCGCAGCGAGUCCUGGCCCAUGGUCGUGCAGUCUAGGGGGCUGGAUGGCAUGCUGGACCCAAGCUCAGCUCAGCGUCUGGGCCCAAUAACGGCUUUUCCAAGGGAGCAGCUUUCUGUCCUGGCCACAUCAAGGGCCUCACCAAAUCCAAGAAAAAUCUCAUGAAUCUGGAAAUCUAGAGAGUUGGAUUCUAGCUGCUGUUCUGCCACAAACCACCCAGAUGACCUUGGGGAAGACAUCUUGCUUCGGGGGCCAGGGAUUUUUCAUGUGUAAAAAGAGUCAGUGGGCUCGAUGAUUCAUAAAGACUUAAUAUGCAUGUCUACAUUAUAGGAGUGUGAACCAGGUGGUCAUUCAAGACCUAGUACACUUGGAAAAGAAGUGUCCUCGCCUAUGGAGCAUGAGUUGGCAGCAAUGGAAUCCACAAGGUACUGCUGGCUCCAGCCCAUCAGCACUUCCCAGCUCCAUCUGCACAUCCUGUUUCCA